rnacentral:rRNA from 1 species
UACGUAGGGUCCGAGCGUUGUCCGGAAUUAUUGGGCGUAAAGGGCUCGUAGGCGGUUCGUCGCGUCGGGAGUGAAAACUCGGAGCUCAACUCCGAGCCUGCUUCCGAUACGGGCAGACUAGAGGUAGGCAGGGGAGAGCGGAACUCCUGGUGUAGCGGUGGAAUGCGCAGAUAUCAGGAAGAACACCGGUGGCGAAGGCGGCGAUCUGGGGUAGAUACUGACGCUGAGGUGCGAAAGCGUGGGGAGCAAACAGG